GAGGAACAAAUAAGAGCAUUACUAAACCAGGUAAUGCCAAUGCAAGAGCCCAUUCGCCCCAUGUCAUAGAAAGGCCUGUAAUUUUAGUUACGAAAUCUAAGGCUAAUACAUUCGGAGCCAUGGCUGUAAGAAACAUAAAAGAUGUUACUUUUGUGAUGAAAUAACCAUUCAUCAAAAUAAAGGAACCACCACGCUUAGCAGUAUCACCAGGAUAGGACCCAAUAGAUUCUGCAAUAGACAAGUUA
rnacentral:antisense_RNA from 1 species